CCCUACUUCGACUACAUAUACUUCUAUUUAUAGAAAAUUUAGCAACGUCUAUCCUAACGUUAAACUACUAAACUUCAGCCACGCGUCCUUUUGCAUUUGAAAUGAACCAAGGCCUGUAAACCGUUGUAACCGUCGAAGUCGAAUCAUCCUUAAAUGAUAAAAAUUGCUCUAAGUCCACAAUUCUUGACUACUUCGAUUCAUUGGCUUCCAUCGAAAGAUUAUUUCAAUCUCG
rnacentral:lncRNA from 1 species